CAGUCGCCGCGGGAAUACGGAGGGGGCUAGCGUUGUUCGGAAUUACUGGGCGUAAAGCGCACGUAGGCGGCUUGGUAAGUUAGAGGUGAAAGCCCGGAGCUCAACUCCGGAAUUGCCUUUAAGACUGCCGAGCUAGUAGGUGAGAGAGGUAAGUGGAAUUCCGAGUGUAGAGGUGAAAUUCGUAGAUAUUCGGAAGAACACCAGUGGCGAAGGCGGCUUACUGGCUCAUUCUAGACGCUGAGGUGCGAAAGCGUGGGAAGCAAACAGGAUUAGAUACCCCAGUAGUCCCUGUCUCUUAUAA
rnacentral:rRNA from 1 species